GUGAAUCAUCAAAUUUUUGAACGCAAAUUGCACUCUCUUCGGAGAGUAUGCCUGUUUGAGGGUCAGCCUAAAAAAAAUCGACAUAGCCGCUGUUUUCGCGGUGACAUUCGUCGGAAAUUGGGUCAUCUUAAACCUUUGGGUUUUAAGCGGCUUAAAAUUUUCUUUAAGGAUUCCACGAACGUUUCUAAGAUUUACUUCUUACACACGUUUAAGGUAUCGAUCUUUAUUAGAAGGUGGCGUUGGAUUCGAUAUUGGCU
rnacentral:misc_RNA from 1 species